rnacentral:lncRNA from 1 species
CAGUAAUAUGCAGACUUCGGUAAAACAAUGAAACCUAAUAUCCACAAAAAAAGUUUUCCUCAGUACACAAAAAUUGGCAUCUAUGGAAAAAAAUAAUUCCACUGUGUGUAAGAGGGUUGUAAUGUUGAAAAUAUGAGCCACAUAGAUCUCACUUAAAACCAAACUCAACUCAAAUAUUUCAAUAAAGAAGCAGUUCCUAACUCCACUCGUGAUUCCACCAGGUACAGAUGGAUCAACUGACCAGGAUGAAUCAGAUACCAAGGGUUUCAUCCAGGAAUAUCUGAAUCUGCAUAAAACCAAAUAUGGCAGACUGGGUCCUUGUGAAGUAUUGUGGUGCAUACACAAUAAUCUAUAUUUCUUCCCAAACCACCAAAUCUCUUUACACCUAAAAUGUAAGAUUUCAUAGUGAUCCUGAUUGUAUGUUUGGAAUAAAUACCAAACAAAGUAUAAUUUCUAUAUUUUAUUUUAUCACAUUAAUAAAUUACAUACAUUUAAAAGCAGUACACACAAAAGCUCAAGUGCCAAAAAUGGAAACUGGUAUCGAGUGAAAUACAAAAUGUACUACACUACUCUGUAUCAAAAUAAGAAGAUGUGGUAUGAUUGCGAAUGAGAGAGCUAAAAACAAAAGUUAAAAUUAAGUAGAUGUAAGCAAUUUUAGGUAACUGUACAGGGUUCGACAAUGGGAACACCCCUACCUUGUGUAGAGCCCUUAUUACUCAGCUUUAUCUCAGUCCGCUGAAGUAUUGCAGUCUGUCAACUUUUCAUGAAGCAAAUGCGUGAGAUUUGGUCAAAAUUGAAAAGAUCAAAGAGAAAAAAACAAUAGAUCACAGGAAAAUGCCGCCAAAAAAGCAUGAACAUGCGUGAGACUUGGCAGAGCUGGUACUAUAGAUUUUAUUUCCUAAAAUGCUCAAUGGCCAACAAGGAUAAGGAACAGCCAUGUUUAACUAAAUGAGAUUUAUGAAUAAAUGAAAUGUUUUAAUGUUAGAUUAAUGUAGGUUAUCUCUAGUUACAGAGAAAAGGAAUAAAGAUUCACUUAAUGGAUGUAGAAUUCAUAUUCUUUGUACAGGGUCUACCUAUAGUAUUCCCUUGAACUUUUUGAAGAUUUGGUGAAAUAGUUUCAGAUUAGAUUGAUUUUUUUACAAAUUAGAAUCAAGAUCGACCUCUUGCAGCAAUGUUUAUUUAAAAUAUUGGGAUGAACAAUCGUUCCAUACAUUGUUAGUGGCAAGUUAGAACAUCCAUGUUUCAAAGAAAGAUAAAAUUAUGAUUUCCCAUGGGUUUCAAUGCAAACAUAUACUGCAUCUUAACCCAUUUUAGGUGUUUGAUGAACUCCAGACACCACUGUCCUAUACAUGUCCGUUUUUAAAAGCCUUAAUUUGACCUUGACCUUCGGUGUGUGACCUACAAGUCAGUAGAACUUUUCUUUCCAUUGUGUUUGACGGUGAAAUUUGAACAUAUAUACAAGCCUUUGAAGCGUUUAAUUUAGCAUCUGGAACCACUUUUCAGCAUACAUUUCAAUAUACUGCUUUUAGUUAUAGUUACCCUGACCUUUGACCUCAUAAUCAAGAGUGAUCUGUGACCAUGAAUGUACAAUUGCAGUUAGGUCUAUUGGAUUUAGCAUCUGGCCACUGAAAUGGCAGUUUGGGAAUAAUAAUACAUUGUACAAGUCAAAAUAACUGUUCAGGUAUUGCUUUUCAGAACAGGCAGUGAAACUAACCAGAAGAUCACAACCAGGUUGUGUUUUCUGCCAAUGAACAUUUUAUUAAGAUAGGACAAAUAAUAAUUUGGUAUUGAAAGAAAAAAUGCUAAUGCAGACAAAUGACUUGUACAAAAACAUCACAGCAUUAUUGCUUGCACUGCGAAGUUAAUUGUUACUACACAUUAAGCUGAUUCCUAAACCCUAUAUAAAAUUCAUCUUGAUUGUGAUACAUGUAUUGCAUAUGGUUAGGUUCAUACAAUGCUAAUGUAGAAAUCCUUUAAAACUUCAGAACCAAUUUAAAUUUUGCAGCUGAAUGUAAACAAACUAUAGAGCCAUAUAGAUGAAGAGAGAUUAAAACCAAUGAAACAUAAGUCAAUGAGGUCACAAAAAAUAAUCUGACUUUGUAGCAAAUUGUAACAGUUGAAUAACCUCAUGAAUAACAUUUAGACAUUAUCUUAGAUCAACAUUUCAAAAAAUCAUUGCUUAUAGACUAUAUCCCAUAGAAACUUGUUAUGUGACAUUUUAUUACAUGUAUUUUACUGAAUAUAACAUGUCUUAAUUCAAACGGAUGUCUGACUCUCAAAUUUCUCAUGAAAAUAGAAGAUUUACUAUAAGAAAAUAAUAUGAAAGCUUAGUUUGGACAUGCAAUAAAAAAAAACUCUAACUUUUGGAAUGACUCUUCACAAAAAUAUGUAUAGAAACCCUUGGACCCACAUUCAUAACUUGGGAUACAAUUUACAAACUAGAUACCCUAAGGAACAUUCAGUUAAAGUUUGGAAGUAUUUGGCCCAGUAGUUUCAGAGGAGAAGAUUUUUGUAAAAGAUUACUAAGAUUUACGAAAAAUGGUUAAAAAUUGACUAUAAAGGGCAAUAACUCCUAAAGGGGUCAACUGACCAUUUCCGUCAUGUUGACUUAUUUGUAAAUCUUACUUUGUUGAACAUUAUUCCUGUUUACAGUUUAUCUCUAUCUAUAAUAAUAUUCAAGAUAAUAACCAAAAACAGCAAAAUUUCCUUAAAAUUACCAAUUCAGGGCAGCAACCCAACAACAGGUUGUCUGAUUCAUCUGAAAAUUUCAGGGCAGAUAGAUCUUGACCUGAUAAACAAUAUUACCCCAUGUCAGAUUUGCUCUAAAUGCUUUGGUUUUUGAGUUAUAAGCCAAAAACUGCAUUUGACCCCUAUGUUCUAUUUUUAGCAAUGGCGACCAUGUUUGUUGAUAGAUCAUAACUUGGGAUACAAUUUACAAACUAGAUACCCUAAGGAACAUUCAAUUAAAGUUUGGAAGUAUUUGGCCCAGUAGUUUCAGAGGAGAAGAUUUUUGUAAAAGAUUACUAAGAUUUACGAAAAAUGGUUAAAAAUUGACUAUAAAGGGCAAUAAUUCCUAAAGGGGUCAACUGACCAUUUCCGUCAUGUUGACUUAUUUGUAAAUCUUACUUUGCUGAACAUUAUUCCUGUUUACAGUUUAUCUCUAUCUAUA